AUUCAAGUCUACCCGGUUGGUAGGCGCGUCACUCGCCAGAUGUUGCCGUGCGCCCGGGGCGAUUCACUUCGCUCGCGGUGUCGUUUCCGGUCUUCACUCGGCGUGGUCGGCGUUUGUCCUCCACCGGCGAACUGCACUUCCGCCCUAGUAGAAACGUCGCGACCCGUUGGGUGCCGGUCUAAGGCCCCGGGUGGCAGACCUCGCCGUUCUGCAAAGAGGUUUCGAGCAGCGGCGAGGACCCUGGGUGACCCGGCCGGCUGCCCGACGGUAUGAUCAGAGGAGCCGAUCCGCUGCAAUUGGGAAACACUGUGUGUGUGAAGCGUCUGGCCCGGUGUCGACGUGUGCGGGGUUGCGGUUAAAACCGGGGGUGUUCCGUGCGACGCACGGCCCCGGCCCCGUUGCGCUGUCGGUCGCCGGUGACCUCAGACUGGAUCGUGUACUCCCGUCUGCGACGCCCACCCUCGGAUGGUCUCCCGACCC
rnacentral:rRNA from 1 species